AUUUUAUUUGAUGGUGCAUUAUUCUAGUAAUGCUUUCUAUUAUGAGGGUGGGGCUAAAAAUCCACUAAAGGGCACAUCGUUGAAGUUCCUUGUUUGUGCGCGAAAUGCCAGUUUUGUGUGCUUUCAGGGAGUAAGGUUUUAGGGUACUAUGUAACGGCAUACAUACUUUGCCCUACUACCGCGGAGGCUUAAAUAGAUUUACUAAUUUUAAGUAUAACCUAUGAGCUUAAGGGAACACCUUAAGGUAAUAGCGUAGCCUGUCUUGAGUGAUAGUAUUGGGAUUAUUUUUAUAUGAAAUUACUGUUGCAAAAAAGACUAGUCUUAGAAAUGUAUUUCAAGGAAAACUUCUAGAAUGUUUGUUUCAAUCGAGAAGCAUAGAAUUAUAGGGAUUAAGGUACGGACUUAAGUGGCAAUCUGGCAUUCCUAUUUAGGAAUAUUCGCUUUAAAAGGAAACUACUCGGCAGUAAUGCAAAGUAGCGGAUAAAGAAAUUAGGCUAGACCUCAAACCGUAAAAUUUACUUAUAAUUUUACCAUCUUAAAUUUUA
rnacentral:sRNA from 1 species